rnacentral:rRNA from 1 species
AUUGAACGCUGGCGGCAUGCCUAACACAUGCAAGUCGAACGAAGCCUUCGGGCUUAGUGGCGCACGGGUGCGUAACACGUGGGAAUCUGCCCUUCGGUUCGGAAUAACAGUUAGAAAUGACUGCUAAUACCGGAUGAUGACGUAAGUCCAAAGAUUUAUCGCCGAAGGAUGAGCCCGCGUAGGAUUAGGUAGUUGGUAGGGUAAUGGCCUACCAAGCCGACGAUCCUUAGCUGGUCUGAGAGGAUGAUCAGCCACACUGGGACUGAGACACGGUCCAGACUCCUACGGGAGGCAGCAGUGGGGAAUCUUAGACAAUGGGCGCAAGCCUGAUCUAGCCAUGCCGCGUGGACGAUGAAGGCCUUAGGGUUGUAAAGUCCUUUCAGCUGGGAAGAUAAUGACGGUACCAGCAGAAGAAGCCCCCGGCUAACUCCGUGCCAGCAGCCGCGGU